GUCUCAACAAGUAGAGAUGUUAACGUCUCAGAUUCGAGAUGAAUUUGAAAAAUUCGAAUUCGAACCCGACUAGAAAACCCAAACACAAAUAGGAAUCCGAAUCCGACAAAUUUUUAAAAUUCAUAUCUAAAUCCGAACCCAAUCAAAAAAUUGAAAUCCAACCCCAAAUCUGAGAAUCCAAAUUUAAAAUAAUUAUUUUUCUUUAUAAUAUUUCAAAAUAUAUUAUUUUAAAUCUAAAUGAUAUAUAUAUAUAUA
rnacentral:lncRNA from 1 species